rnacentral:lncRNA from 1 species
GAUAAUGGAGAUCCCGGCGAUCAACCUCGAAGAGCUCGAAGGCGAGAAGAGGAGCACUACCAUGUCGCUUCUCCACGACGCCUGCGGAAAGUGGGGGUUCUUUUGGGUAAGCAUAAGGAGUUAAUAAUGCUGAGCUGUGAGAAAUGUUAAGCUUAACUAACUUCGAUAAUUGCGCGUCGUCGCAGGUAGAGAACCAUGGGGUUGACGAGGAGCUGAUGGAGAAGGUGAAGGCGCUGGUGAAUAAGCAUUACGAGGAGAUGAUGAAGGAGACCUUUUAUGGUUCGGACGUCGCUAGGACGUU